rnacentral:rRNA from 1 species
UACGUAGGGGGCAAGCGUUGUCCGGAAUCAUUGGGCGUAAAGCGCGUGUAGGCGGCCCGAUAAGUCCGCUGUGAAAGUCCAGGGCUCAACCCUGGAAUGCCGGUGGAUACUGUCGGGCUCGAGUCCGGAAGAGGCGAGUGGAAUUCCUGGUGUAGCGGUGGAAUGCGCAGAUAUCAGGAAGAACACCAACGGCGAAGGCAGCUCGCUGGGACGGAACUGACGCUAAGGCGCGAAAGCGUGGGGAGCGAACAGG